rnacentral:rRNA from 1 species
AGUGAACGCUGGCGGUAGGCCUAACACAUGCAAGUCGAACGGCAGCACAGGAGAGCUUGCUCUCUGGGUGGCGAGUGGCGGACGGGUGAGGAAUACAUCGGAAUCUACUCUGUCGUGGGGGAUAACGUAGGGAAACUUACGCUAAUACCGCAUACGACCUACGGGGGAAAGCGGGGGAUCUUCGGACCUUGCGCGAUUGAAUGAGCCGAUGUCGGAUUAGCUAGUUGGCGGGGUAAAGGCCCACCAAGGCGACGAUCCGUAGCUGGUCUGAGAGAAUGAUCAGCCACACUGGACCUGAGACACGGUCCAGACUCCUACGGGAGGCAGCAGUGGGGAAUAUUGGACAAUGGGCGCAAGCCUGAUCCAGCCAUACCGCGUGGGUGAAGAAGGCCUUCGGGUUGUAAAGCCCUUUUGUUGGGAAAGAAAUCCAGCUGGUUAAUACCCGGUUGGGAUGACGGUACCCAAAGAAUAAGCACCGGCUAACUUCGUGCCAGCCGCCGCCGUAA